UCUGGGACUGCUAGAACAGUUGUUGCCAUGCUGACCUGACCUUUUGUAAUGGAUAAAGUUGCAUUUGAUCAGGAUUUUAGCGUCUUGUUGCGAAUUUUACAAUAGUUGAGUCGUGUCUUAUAGAGUUUGACAAACGUUUGAAUCAUAGUCAAGAUCGAAUCAUCCACAUGGUUUGAACUAUAGUUAUAGUUUGAAGCGCAGAUGUCCGAAACUGUCAAUUACUGAGUAAAGCACUGACGUAUUUUGAGACGGUCAAAUCAUAGUAGCUUUUUUUUUCUUCUUCUUUUUCUUUUUUUUUUUUUUCAAGGAUUAAAAUUUGAUGUAGUCUUAUUCUUAUGGUGCAA
rnacentral:misc_RNA from 1 species